rnacentral:rRNA from 1 species
CAGUCGCCGCGGUAAUACGGAGGGGGCUAGCGUUGUUCGGAAUUACUGGGCGUAAAGCGCACGUAGGCGGCUUGGUAAGUUAGUGGUGAAAGCCUGGAGCUCAACUCCAGAAUUGCCUUUAAGACUGCCGAGCUAGCAGGUGAGAGAGGUAAGUGGAAUUCCGAGUGUAGAGGUGAAAUUCGUAGAUAUUCGGAAGAACACCAGUGGCGAAGGCGGCUUACUGGCUCAUACUGGACGCUGAGGUGCGAAAGCGUGGGGAGCAAACAGGAUUAGAUACCCCUGUAGUCCCUGUCUCUUAUAC